rnacentral:rRNA from 1 species
AGUGAACGCUGGCGGUAGGCCUAACACAUGCAAGUCGAACGGCAGCACAGUAAGAGCUUGCUCUUACGGGUGGCGAGUGGCGGACGGGUGAGGAAUACCUCGGAAUCUACUUUUUCGUGGGGGAUAACGUAGGGAAACUUACGCUAAUACCGCAUACGACCUAAGGGUGAAAGCAGGGGAUCUUCGGACCUUGCGCGAUUGAAUGAGCCGAUGUCGGAUUAGCUAGUGGGCGGGGGAAAUGCCCACCAAGGCGACGAUCCGUGGCUGGUCUGAGUGGAUGAUCGGCCACACGGGAGCUGAGACACGGUCCAGGGUCCUACGGGAGGCAGCAGUGGGGAAUGUUGGACAAUGGGCGCAAGCCUGAUCCAGCGAUACCGCGUGGGUGAAAGAGGCCUUCGGGUUGUAAAGCCGUUUUGUGGGGAAAGAAAAGCAGCAGGUUAAGACCCCGCUGUACUGACGGUACCCAAAGAAUAAGCACCGGCUAACUUCGUG